GGCCCGGCCCGGCCCGGCCCGGCCCGGCUCGGCUGGCGGUCCCCGGGCCCGGUGAGGUAAGGCCGCUCCUCGCCGCCGCUCUACCGCAGCCCGGCCCGCCCGCCGGUGUGAUGGAGCCGGGACGCGGAGCGGCCCCGCGGCGGGCCUCGGGGCUUGGCUCCGGUCCCGGUCCCGUCCCCCGCCACCGCCCCGUCGACGGCGGGCAGUAACAGCCCUCCGCCGCCGGGGCCGGGGCCGGCGGGAGCGGUUCCUCCCGGGGCAGGAAAAGUCUCCGAAGUCCGCCCCAAGUGCCGCCGGGCCGGGCGCUCUGCUCGGGGGUGGCCGGGUCCCGCGGGGGAGCGGCGCCGCGCCCGGGAGGCGCGGGGCGGGGUUGGCGGCGGUGCCCCCCUCCUCUCCCCCGGGCUGGGGCCCGUCCGUCCCGCGGGAGGGAGCCGGGACCGGCGUUCCGGAGGGAACGUAACCGGCUCGGGAGGCGUCCGGUCGCUCCUCAAGCGGGUUAGCGGUAGCGCCGAGCCCGGGAGGACGGGAUCGUCCCCUCCUCGGGCUGGGGAGAUGAGGGGCUCGUCUUCCACAGCCGGGGCGCGGGGAAGCCCUCUCCCCCGCCUCCUUCCCGGGUGACGGUGACUGGAGCAUCGGAGCAGGGAGCUGCUGGGAGGCAGCAAGCAGGAGGAAGCGAGUGCAGUUACUCACCGGGACUCUCCCCCCUCGCUCAUCACAGUAGUACGUUUACCUCGGCUUUGUCCGCCGACUGCUGGAGGAUCGGGUGUCCUCUCUUUAAUGCGUGAAGCCAGAAGCGGUGCGCAGCUGAUCUUUGAGUCUGGGCGCGUUACGUACCACCUAAAUACGAAAGCCUCUGGGGUGGAAGCUGUUGAGCUGCACGGCAAAUUAAACUGCUCUUGCGUGGUGGAACAGAACAGAUUCCCCAGGGAGAGAAACAGUAAGACAGAAGGAGGGGGAGGGCACAUAGUAAAUCAAAACUUUCGGCUGCUGUCCCAGCACUAGGUUGGAAACUUGUUUCUACUGUACUGUAGUCAUCGGUACCACUGCCUGCAGCAUCUUGAUUCUUUCCAAAGGUUUUCACUUCCAAACAGCGCACAGUGGACAUCAGUGUGUGUCUGUGACUGGGGACAAACUGAUGUGAGGUAAAUGAUGGUGUGGUAUGCAUACAAAAAAAUGUUUUCCUAAAUGGCCCAGCUUAUAAUUACUUCUAGCUCUAAUAUAAUGAGAGUAAGUUUCUACUCGUUUUCACAAUGGUCAUACUCUGUCUCCUGUAUUUGCCCAUUAUCCUGUGCCACGGCUUGUGUGCAGAGUUGAAUACAAGUUGCUAAUGACUAUAAUAUUUGCCCAUCCCUUCCUGUUGGGGUAAACAAAUCGCAUAAAAGAUGUAACUUGCACCUUUCCUCUAGAAGCAGGCCAGGGCCUGGCAUUUGUCUCACACCUGGAAGUCGUGAGAAUCCACAGGUCCUGCAGCAGGAAUUGGUGGGGCCGCAGAGCUCUUGGUCCAGGCGAUGCCGAUGCUCACGGGUGGGUUGUGUGAGCAGCAGAAUGAGCGAAUUCUGACACUCGUCGAACCCGCAGUGUCUCCCUCAGUUGCCCUGUCACGCAGACCCUGCGUGCUGCAGUAACUGUAGCUGUCUGCCCUCCUCCCCAGUGACACAGGCGGGUGUGCUGUGCUUCAUCUGGAGCAUAUGUGGAGUGACUGCUGCCAAAGGGAAAGUGUAAUGACUAAGUUGUACGUGCCCUUCCCACAGGCAGGAACUUGGAUCUGUCCUCUCAACUGCUGGUGCACUUGUGGGAGUUUCAUUAUCUUUAAGACUCUUCCCUCUUUCAAUCUGAAACCUGAUUCAGAAGCUUGUGGGAAUGAAGAGAGGAGAAACACGCCAAGUGGACAGAGCGUGCGCUCACAUAAUUUCUUUUUCUCUUGGCAAUAACUUACCCAUGAACUGAACCAACUUGAUAAUCGGUGAUACCGUAUUGCUAAAAACAGCACACGUGGAGAUUGUAAUGGGAUUACGUAGAGAGAGUUGUUUUUCAAUCAGAACUGGUUUUGAAGCCUGUGGUCUGACAAGUUGCUUCCCAAAGCAGGAAGAAUAAGGCAGAAAAUUAAGUUUACAUUUUUGCACGGGCA